rnacentral:rRNA from 1 species
AGCGAACGCUGGCGGCAGGCCUAACACAUGCAAGUCGAGCGCCCCGCAAGGGGAGCGGCAGACGGGAGAGUAACACGUGGGAACGUACCCUUUGGUUCGGAACAACCCAGGGAAACUUGGGCUAAUACCGGAUAAGCCCUUACGGGGAAAGAUUCAUCGCCGAAGGAUCGGCCCGCGUCUGAUUAGCUAGUGGGUGGGGUAACGGCCCACCAAGGCGACGCUCAGUAGCUGGUCUGAGAGGAAGAUCAGCCUCACUGGGACUGAGACAGGGCCCAGACCCCUACGGGAGGCAGCAGUGGGGAAUAUUGGAAAAUGGGCGCAAGCCUGAUCCAGCCAUGCCGCGUGGGUGAUGAAGGCCCUAGGGUUGUAAAGCCCUUUCGGCGGGGAAGAUAAUGACGGUACCCGCAGAAGAAGCCCCGGCUAACUUCGUGCCAGCCGCCGCCGUAAUAC